rnacentral:lncRNA from 1 species
UGUGUGCGAGGUUCACAAAGAAAUGACUCGGGUGGAUCCAUCUUUCUAUUUAAGAUGUGUCCUAACUACAAAACUUUACUUUCGCUAUAUACAUGUAGGUUUCUGCAAUAACUUGCAAAAAACAAAAAGUCAAACUAUACAUACUAAAUAUUUGUAAACUGGUAAACCAAACAAUCAUGAUUUAGAAAUAUUGAAAGCCAACAUUAGCGUAAACUUAUA